GACGAACGCUGGCGGCGCGCCUAACACAUGCAAGUCGAACGAGCGAGCGAGAGCUUGCUUUCUCAAUCGAGUGGCGAACGGGUGAGUAACGCGUGAGGAACCUGCCUCAAAGAGGGGGACAACAGCUGGAAACGACUGCUAAUACCGCAUAAGCCCACAGGUCGGCAUCGACCAGAGGGAAAAGGGGCGAUCGGCUUUGAGAUGGCCUCGCGUCCGAUUAGCUAGUUGGUGAGGUAACGGCCCACCAAGGCAACGAUCGGUAGCCGGACUGAGAGGUUGAACGGCCACAUUGGGACUGAGACACGGCCCAGACUCCUACGGGAGGCAGCAGUGGGGAAUAUUGCACAAUGGGGGAAACCCUGAUGCAGCGACGCCGCGUGGAGGAAGAAGGUCUUCGGAUUGUAAACUCCUGUUGUUGAGGAAGAUAAUGACGGUACUCAACAAGGAAGUGACGGCUAACUACGUG
rnacentral:rRNA from 1 species